rnacentral:lncRNA from 1 species
CCAGCUCUCCCCCCUGCCCACCGCAGGCGGCGUUCCGCUGUUAGCCUCUCGCACCGUGUGGGUCCGCCGCACAGUGCCACCUCUCGACGCGUCCGGAGUCGUCGGCUCGCCGACGCAGCCCUGCCGGUUGCGACGGUUGGCGGUUGCCUAGCAAGCAGCGGUGCUGGCGCCAUUCGCGGGGCGUGGCGCCGCAGGCAGGAAGCUCCCGCCUGCUCCCGCUUCGUCUUCUCGCUCCAACCGAAUCCCCAGGUUCGCCUCCCUCCACCUGUCCCAUCCUCCCAAUGUUUCCAGUUUUGCGCUUCCAUUCGCCGACCCAUCGUGUCCUCCCAGCAGUGCCUGUCCCGCGUUCGUUUGCGCGUGUGCGGUCCAAUUAGAACUGCGGAAUUUGAGCCCCAGAUUUCACCACCGUGGUUGCUAGUUGCUUAUUGCUACGGAAAGUUAGUUGCUAAAUUUUAGUGUUGUACAUUGCAAUUUGCAAAUGUCGGCUGGAGUGGGCACACUGAAUCUCCUGACAAUUGGCGCAAAAUAUGAGGGCAAAUUAGUUCUCAUCAUCGCCCUGCCAUACAAACUAGGAUGAGGCUAUUCUGCAGAAUUGCCAACUUUGUACAUGAAGCAAUUGAACACACCUUAAGAGCUGCGUUAGUUUUACACGGGCCGGAUGUGCCUCCUUUUUCAUUUUUAUUGAGUUUACUUAAGGGACUAUACCUCCUGCCCAUAUGCAUUGCAACAAGACAAACGUUCAGUGUUAUUACAGCUUCAGAAAUGCAAGGUGCGGCAAUACUUGCCUGAAUGUUCCCCAAAAAACAAAAGCCUGAGCCCCACGGUUGAUAGGUAACCCCAAUUCAGUUCCAGAAACUGAAGCAUUCAGACAACAGUGAUCAUGUUACUUGUGCAGUGUUAUCGUGUUAAUUGUCUCUGAUGAAAUAGUGAAGUCUGAGCUACAGCCUUAAAGUGAUCUGACUGCUUCUAGGAAUAUAGUCACUGCUUUAAUAAGGUAAAAUUAUAAAUUCAAAUAACAGGAAUAUAUUGUUGAUUACAUAGCAGUACAUGAGCAUACUGAUUGGUGAGUACUGCUCUAUACAUUCACCCAGCUUGAGUUUUAGAAAUUUACAGUGCCGUCCUGUUAUGAGUGCCGUAAUAAUUAAAUUAUUUGCAGGAUUAGGUAUUACUGUAUUUUUCCUCCACUAGUUGUUGUAGAAGUACGGGUACUGGGGCCACACUGACAUCUCGCCCUGCAAGAUUUGAACUAUUUGUUGGAUCGUUGGCCUGUGAGCCUCAUUGGUCUGAAUGCACCGGCACGCAACCUUGCAUGAUCUCUCUAGCUCUCGAAUAUCCGCAUCAUUUAGUCUGUGAUCCAAGAUUUCAGAAAUGUCACCUUCACUUAUCCUAAUUGUGGCCACACUGGAAAGUACCUUACGGUUCAAUUCUCCAUCAACUUUGAAUUCCUUCUGCCUGAAAUUAUCUCGAAUAGCAUCAUUCAUAGCUGUACACAUCUGCUUUUGGUGUUAUGGGAAGACCUCCAAUCCAUUCUAGUGCAGAUACUCUAUUGCUCCUCUCAUAGUUGUCGAUGCCCUGCUAAAAUGUCGAUCCAUAACUACAUAAGCUUCGCCACACCAAAAUCAGACACUUUUGGACUGAAUUCUGCACAAGAAGUACAUUUUCAGGCUUUAUAUCACAACGUAUGAUGCGAUCAUGGCAUUCAUCGUGGAGAUAAUGUAAUCCCUUUGCAACACCUAGAAUGACUAGGAAUCUUGUGUUCUAUCCAAUAUCUUCUCAUUCUUGAAGAGAUGAAGAUGAUAUUGAGAGAUCCAUUCACCAUAAAGUCAUACACCAGCAGCCUUUCGACUCUGCUCAAGCAGAACCCACUUAGGUGAACCAGAUUAUUAUGGUCAAUUUUCCCUAAAGCCCUCACCUCAGUGUGAAAUUUCUUCUCUCCUUGUUUCAUGCCUUGAAGCUUCUUGACAGCUAUUGGUUUGGAGUCUGGGAGCAACCCUUUGAGCACUGAACCAAAGCUACCUUGCCCCAGUUUAUCUGAGAAAUUCUUUGUGCAAUGCUGUAAAAAGGAAUAGUCGUAGACAAUGAGAGUGUCAUUAUCUGAUAAAGUCUUUUGAGAUGAAGUCCUCCUUUGGAAUGUCUUAACAGUUAUGCCAAAAGCAAAUAGUGCCAUAAAAAUACUACCCUGGUGCAAUUAACACAGUAAGCCUCUCAGGAGGAUCGUGGAAGCAGUGGUAUUGUUGUGUCCAGUCCUUUAUUGUAUUCAGAAAAUAGGUUGGGUGCGUCUCUCUCAUUGUUCCAUGCCUACCAUCUACUAGCUCUUCUUAAUCUGGAGUCUAUAAUAACUUGACCAAAUCUUCAUCUCUCUCUAAAUGAUCCCAUGGUUCCGCAUACAUCUUGAAACAACUCGAGUUAUGAACAAUACUUUGAAACAUUAGCGUAAUAACACUGAAAUCAUCAUGCGUACUGCAAGAGUGAUGUUGUAAUUUACAGCUACCAUCCUUAUAAUGAUGCCAGGCUAUGGCUAUUCAGCCUGGGAAAUAGAAAUUCAUCAGCAAAAGAAUACAUGCCCGACUCAGAUGUUACAAAACAUAGCCCCUGUUUUUUCCCCUCACUUAGCUGGCUAUCUCAUCGAAGUUGAUUGAUUGGGAUGCUUAAGUUUUCAUAUAAACAAGGAAACAGUAACACGGAAUUUGUUUGCACAGAAAUUUGGGGUCCGCUUGCUUAUUUUGUUAUUUUAUUUUCAUUUUUGAAAAAUCAAUCUGUACCUCCUUUUUUAGAAAAAAAUAAUUUCAGCCUCAUUCACCAAAGAGUAUGCGCACGCCUGAGCUGAUGUUAGGAGCAAUUAGUCAAAAACAUAACUGUAACAAAAAAGCGUCUAUAUUCAGAUUCCAAUAUAUGGUUCAAAGGUGAACUCAUCAACUCAAUUUUACAUUUAGUAGGACAAAUGGGGAAGAUUGCAUGUGUACAUGCAACAGUGGUCCCUUUGUUAUAUUGGUUACUACACUCUGCACUAGAUCUACAGUAUUAAAGCAUAGCACAGUACAAAAGCGGAGCAUAUUAGGUUCUAAUUUAUGUACAUCUUCGCUCACUCAUAACACUCUCCAAGUAUUUGCCCUAACCAAUUGCAGCUUAUCUGAUUUAUAUACUUUGGAAGUGUGAACCGCCUGAAGUAGCACUGUAUGUCUGGGAAGUUGUCGUGCUGUCCUGUGUCUGAGAAGCCUGACUUGAAGAUAUAUCUGAAAAGAAGUUUAUAACAUCAGGGCUUUCACCAAGAACUCUCAAUGACCUUGGAACAGGAGGCAUGUUAACGUCAAGGAAUCCCUCGAGGAUUUGAACAAUCUGGCCAGUUGUGGGUCUAGC